rnacentral:rRNA from 1 species
CCUACGGGGGACAGCAGUGGGGAAUAUUGCACAAUGGGGGAAACCCUGAUGCAGCAACGCCGCGUGAGUGAAGAAGUAUUUCGGUAUGUAAAGCUCUAUCAGCAGGGAAGAAGAAAGACGGUACCUGACUAAGAAGCCCCGGCUAACUACGUGCCAGCAGCCGCGGUAAUACGUAGGGGGCAAGCGUUAUCCGGAUUUACUGGGUGGAAAGGGAGCGUAGACGGAAUGCCAAGUCAGCGGUAAAAUCGCGGGGCUCAACCUCGCUCCGCCGGUGAAACUGGCGUUCUUGAGUGGGCGAGAAGUAUGCGGAAUGCGUGGUGUAGCGGUGAAAUGCAUAGAUAUCACGCAGAACUCCGAUUGCGAAGGCAGCAUACCGGCGCCCAACUGACGCUGAAGCACGAAAGCGUGGGUAUCGAACAGGAUUAGAUACCCGAGUAGUC